rnacentral:rRNA from 1 species
GAAUGAACGUUGGCGGCGUGGAUUAGGCAUGCAAGUCGAGCGAGAACCCCGCAAGGGGGGACAGCGGCGAAAGGGACAGUAAUGUGUAGAUUAUCUGCCCUCAGGUCCGGGAUAGCUGCGGGAAACUGCAGGUAAUACCGGAUAACAUCUCCGGAUCAAAGGUGUGAUUCCGCCUGAGGAUGAGUCUGCAUCCUAUUAGCUAGUUGGUGGGGUAAUGGCCUACCAAGGCAUUGAUGGGUAGCAGGUGUGAGAGCACGACCUGCGUCAUUGGGACUGAGACACUGCCCAGACACCUACGGGUGGCUGCAGUCGAGAAUCUUCGGCAAUGGGCGCAAGCCUGACCGAGCGACGCCGCGUGUGGGAUGAAGGCCUUCGGGUUGUAAACCACUGUCAGAGGGGAUGAAAUGCAGGUGGGUUCUCCCAUCUGUUUGACAUAGCCUCAGAGGAAGGACGGGCUAAGUUCGUG